rnacentral:rRNA from 1 species
GAUGAACGUUGGCGGUGUGCCUAAUACAUGCAAGUCGAACGGAGUUAAUAGCAAUAUUGACUUAGUGGCGAACGGGUGAGUAACGCGUUGGUGAUCUGCCUUGAAGUGUGGAAUAACGUUCCGAAAGGAUCGCUAAUACCGCAUGUGCUCUCGAUUUUUAGAAAGUUGAGAGUAAAGGAUUUAUUCGCUUCAAGAGGAGCCUGCGUCCCAUCAGCUGGUUGGUAGGGUAACGGCCUACCAAGGCUAUGACGGGUAGGGGACCUGAGAGGGUGGCCCCCCA